UUAUACAGCGAAACUGCGAAUGGCUCAUUAUAUAAGUUAUCGUUUAUUUGAUAGUACCUUACUACUUGGAUAACCGUGGUAAUUCUAGAGCUAAUACAUGCUGAAAAUCCCGACUUCGGAAGGGAGGUAUUUAUUAGAUUAAAAACCAAUGCCCUCUGGGCUCCUUGGUGAUUCAUAAUAACUUUUCGAAUCGCACGGCCUUGCGCCGGCGAUGGUUCAUUCAAAUUUCUUCCCUAUCAACUUUCGAUGUUUGGGUAUUGGCCAAACAUGGUCGCAACGGGUAACGGAGGGUUAGGGCUCGACCCCGGAGAAGGAGCCUGAGAAACGGCUACUACAUCCAAGGAAGGCAGCAGGCGCGCAAAUUACCCAAUCCCGAUUCGGGGAGGUAGUGACAAUAAAUACUGAUACAGGGCUCUUUUGGGUCUUGUAAUUGGAAUGAGUACAAUUUAAAUCUCUUAACGAGGAACAAUUGGAGGGCAAGUCUGGUGCCAGCAGCCGCGGUAAUUCCAGCUCCAAUAGCGUAUAUUAAAGUUGUUGUGGUUAAAAAGCUCGUAGUUGAACCUUGGGCCUGGCUGGCCGGUCCGCCUCACCGCGUGUACUGGUCCGGCCGGGCCUUUCCCUCUGUGGAACCUCAUGCCCUUCACUGGGUGUGGCGGGGAAACAGGACUUUUACUUUGAAAAAAUUAGAGUGCUCCAGGCAGGCCUAUGCUCGAAUACAUUAGCAUGGAAUAAUAAAAUAGGACGCGUGGUUCUAUUUUGUUGGUUUCUAGGACCGCCGUAAUGAUUAAUAGGGACAGUCGGGGGCAUCAGUAUUCAAUUGUCAGAGGUGAAAUUCUUAGAUUUAUUGAAGACUAACUACUGCGAAAGCAUUUGCCAAGGAUGUUUUCAUUAAUCAGGAACGAAAGUUAGGGGAUCGAAGACGAUCAGAUACCGUCGUAGUCUUAACCAUAAACUAUGCCGACUAGGGAUCGGACGAUGUUAUUUUUUGACGCGUUCGGCACCUUACGAGAAAUCAAAGUGCUUGGGCUCCAGGGGGAGUAUGGUCGCAAGGCUGAAACUUAAAGAAAUUGACGGAAGGGCACCACCAGGGGUGGAGCCUGCGGCUUAAUUUGACUCAACACGGGGAAACUCACCAGGUCCAGACACAAUGAGGAUUGACAGAUUGAGAGCUCUUUCUUGAUUUUGUGGGUGGUGGUGCAUGGCCGUUCUUAGUUGGUGGAGUGAUUUGUCUGCUUAAUUGCGAUAACGAACGAGACCUUAACCUGCUAAAUAGCCUGUAUUGCUUUGGCAGUACACCGGC
rnacentral:rRNA from 1 species